rnacentral:tRNA from 1 species
GCCGGAGUGGUGGAAUGGUAUACACGUGCGACUCAAAAUCGCAUGCCGUAAGGCUUAAGAGUUCGAGUCUCUUCUCCGGCACCA